GAUGAACGCUGGCGGCGUGCCUAAUACAUGCAAGUCGAGCGAACAGACGAGGAGCUUGCUCCUCUGACGUUAGCGGCGGACGGGUGAGUAACACGUGGAUAACCUACCUAUAAGACUGGGAUAACUUCGGGAAACCGGAGCUAAUACCGGAUAAUAUAUUGAACCGCAUGGUUCAAUAGUGAAAGACGGUUUUGCUGUCACUUAUAGAUGGAUCCGCGCCGCAUUAGCUAGUUGGUAAGGUACGGCUUACCAAGGCAACGAUGCGUAGCCGACCUGAGAGGGUGAUCGGCCACACUGGAACUGAGACACGGUCCAGACUCCUACGGGAGGCAGCAGUAGGGAAUCUUCCGCAAUGGGCGAAAGCCUGACGGAGCAACGCCGCGUGAGUGAUGAAGGUCUUCGGAUCGUAAAACUCUGUUAUUAGGGAAGAACAAAUGUGUAAGUAACUAUGCACGUAUUGACGGUACCUAAUCAGAAAGCCACGGCUAACUACGUG
rnacentral:rRNA from 1 species